rnacentral:lncRNA from 1 species
AUUCAGGACUGACCCUUUAAUGUUCUUUUAUAACCUGCUAUAAAUAAUAUGUUAAAUGCUUGUUUGAUAUGUUUUUUAUUGCUUUUUUGCAGGAGUUGGAACCAGUGCUAGUUAUUAAAAUGGUCAUCACCAGACCAAGGCUCAAUCAAGUCAUGCAAGAAGGAAUCAGGUGAGAUAGUAAGCUGCUGUUAUAUACAGGGGUGCACAUAAGUGGUCUGCAGGUGCGCAUUUGCUGUCAAAAUAAAAGACGCGCACCAGAUAAGAAGUUGCAACGCGCGUUGCAACUAUCAUUAUUGCACAGAUGACUUUCACAGUGCCUCGUUUUACUGUCAUAUUAUUGUGCAAGGUCUUUUACGGAAAUACACUGUACAAGGACUUGGCUGGUAACCCACUUCACAUCUCCUUGAUAAACACUGGAGAAUCAUGCAAAGAUUUUGAUGUAACAGAUUGACCUCUAACAGCAACGAUGGGCAUCAGUGAUGAGAAGACCCUUGUUGAGACGGCGUCGAGUGUGUGCAUGUCUGGAGUGAGGAAAAACCCUUCCACCUUGAAAAGCUUAAUGGUCACAGAGGACAUGGCAAAUAAGAUUGAGACAGCAACAGGAGAACAAGGACCAGGACUGGCAUCAGCUCCAUAGGCCAAGGAUCACAUCUUCAUGUUUGAGAGGUUUGUUAUUUGAGGGGUGAAACUGUGCAGAGAGAAUCCUCAAAAGAAUGAGACAGACUGCAGACGUGAGCACAGGGACAGACGUAGAGUUUAAUGCAGUUGAAGAAAACUGCAAAUUAAAAAACUUUAACUACAGGCUUCAUGGCCUCGUUGUCCACUCUUAAGCUCCCUAGCUUGGUGCCUCACCAUAUAGGCCGAUCUUUGAUCCUUCUGCACAGCCACCGUUUGGACUGGUUGAGAUAAAGUGGCCUUAUGUGAGUAAUUGUGUUCACUGCAGAUACCUUCAACUGCAGCAUGGUACUUUGUCUCUCUGUAAAAGUCACUCGUACCGACUAUGUUGAAACAAAGUUGACAACAGCAUCAGGGAGAGCAUGGACUGGUGUUACUUUCAUGUUCACACGCUGACCCACUUCUAUCUUAAAAAGAAUUGGAUUUCUACUGUGUGGUCUUAAUAAGUAACAGGUUAUUUAAAGAUGCCAAGUUAAAUGUUCAGUAUGUUGGUCACUCUACUAGAUGAGCAAUCUGUGCAAGUGAACUGUGCAACUUCACUGACAGUGAAAUUCUUAGCCAGGGAUUUGUUUUGAUAAUACUUAGGAAGGAAACAUUUGCACUG